AACGCAAAUUGCACUCUCUGGCAACCCGGAGAGUAUGCCUGUUUGAGGGUCAGUGUUAAUAAAAAUCGGUGCGUUGCAAUUUUUUUUGUGAUGUUUCCGGAGUUUGAGUUAUCUUAAAGUAACUCUUCUGGGGUUUUUAAGAGGCUUAAAAUUGACCUUUUUUGUGCAUUUUAGACGUACAUAAAUUUUUUUUUAUUCGUCCAUCUUAAUGCCAAAAUCUAAUAGAUGCGACCAUAUCAUGUGGUUUCGUGUCCAUAAAUUUUUCAUGAUUUGACCUCAAAUCAGGUAGGAACACCCGCUGAACUUAA
rnacentral:misc_RNA from 1 species